UGAUCCUGGCUCAGGAUGAACGCUAGCGGCAGGCCUAACACAUGCAAGUCGAGGGGUAACAUAGAUUGCUUGCAAUCUGAUGACGACCGGCGCACGGGUGCGUAACGCGUAUACAAUCUACCUUGUACUGGAGAAUAGCCCAGAGAAAUUUGGAUUAAUGCUCCAUAGUAUGUCGACCUCGCAUGGGGAUGACAUUAAAGGUUACGGUACAAGAUGAGUAUGCGUCCUAUUAGCUAGAUGGUGUGGUAACGGCACACCAUGGCAACGAUAGGUAGGGGCCCUGAGAGGGGGAUCCCCCACACUGGUACUGAGACACGGACCAGACUCCUACGGGAGGCAGCAGUGAGGAAUAUUGGACAAUGGAGGCAACUCUGAUCCAGCCAUGCCGCGUGCAGGAAGACUGCCCUAUGGGUUGUAAACUGCUUUUAUACAGGAAGAAACCGCUCUACGUGUAGAGCUCUGACGGUACUGUAAGAAUAAGGAUCGGCUAACUCCGUGCCAGCAGCCGCGGUAAUACGGAGGAUCCAAGCGUUAUCCGGAAUCAUUGGGUUUAAAGGGUCCGUAGGUGGAUAAUUAAGUCAGAGGUGAAAGUUUGCCGCUUAACGGUAAAAUUGCCUUUGAUACUGGUUAUCUUGAAUUAUUGUGAAGUAGUUAGAAUAUGUAGUGUAGCGGUGAAAUGCAUAGAUAUUACAUAGAAUACCAAUUGCGAAGGCAGAUUACUAACAAUCAAUUGACACUGAUGGACGAAAGCGUAGGUAGCGAACGGGAUUAGAUACCCCGGUAGU
rnacentral:rRNA from 1 species